GAUGAACGCUGGCGGCGUGCUUAACACAUGCAAGUCGAACGGAAAGGCUCCUGCUUGCCGGGGUUCUCGAGUGGCGAACGGGUGAGUAACACGUGGGUGAUCUGCCCUGCACUUCGGGAUAAGCCUGGGAAACUGGGUCUAAUACCGGAUAGGACGAUGGUUUGGAUGCCAUUGUGGAGAGUUUUUCGGUGUGGGAUGAGCUCGCGGCCUAUCAGCUUGUUGGUGGGGUAAUGGCCUACCAAGGCGUCGACGGGUAGCCGGCCUGAGAGGGUGUACGGCCACAUUGGGACUGAGGUACGGACCAGACUCCUACGGGAGGCAACAGUGGGGAGUAUGACACAGUGGGGGCGAGCCUGAUGCAGCGACGCCGCGUGGGGGAUGACGGCCUUCGGGUUGUGAACACCUUUCGCUAGAGACGAAGCGCAAGUGACGGUACCUGGAGAAGAAGCACCGGCUAACUACGUG
rnacentral:rRNA from 1 species